UGAUACAUAAAAUGCUCAGGACCAUAAAUGG
rnacentral:piRNA from 1 species